GACAGCACUGAAGUUUUGUUCCUGUUGAUGCCUUCAGAGUGUUGCAGGUAAUGGAGAAAAUGGAGACUAGAAAUGAGCUGCAAAGAUGCAAUGGGAAAUGCGGGAUGGACAAUAAUAAAGAGAGACGACUCCUUCAGCUGCUUUUCCUCAGCUUUGGUGUGCUGUGUGUCAUACAAGCCACUCUCAAUCUUGCUUUACGCCUCACAUUCGAGGGGAAUGACUCACCCCACACAAAAAAGUUAUGUGGCAACAACCAGUUAAAACCAGGAAAUUUUAACCAAAAUUCUUGUAGCGAACUACAAGAAAGAAUCAUUGCUUUGAACAGAGACAGAAGCCUGCUUGAAAAGAGAAAUGAAGAGCUCCUUAACAUCAUAAAGAGUCUUGAGGAGGAGAAGAAGAGGCAGAAUGGUGAGAAACUUCAGUUCUUCCUCUUUUCUGUACUUGCAAAAGAAAUUGUGGUAUUCUGAUCUCACGCUCAUCUUUUCUCUCUUAGGUUUCAUCUCAUCGUAUAAUUAGAAAAAUGGCGGCUCAUAUGAAACAGUUGAGUUUCUCUCUAAAAUGGUUUUGGUAUUAUUUCAACAAAGUUUAUUAUUAUUAUUAUUAUUAUUAUUAUUAUUAUUAUUAGUCUAUAAUCUGUUUUAAGCUAAUUGUCCCACAUGUUUGACUUUUGCAGUUAAUGAUUGUGAUUGUAUUACAGUUUGGAUUUCUGUUUGGGGUUUUUAAAAAUUUUUUUUUAUAAUUUUUAUUAAUUAUUCUUUGAAAUGUUUAUGUCUGUAUUAUUCUGAAAGAGAAUUUCUUGUUAAAUUGAGUUGUUCAUGUCUGGUUUUACUUCAUGGUUUUCAUUAUAAUUUCUGUUUUACCAUCCAUCAUUUCUACCAAAGUGAGCUGUAUUUUUUUUAUUAUUUUUCUUUAUGAAGGUUUUGGGUCCUAUUUGUUAAAUUUCACACUAGUUUCUUGUCUAUUUGUCUCCUCAUGGCUGUCGGACUUUUGGAUUUGUUUCUCAUUUGCUUCUUGGACUUUCUUACGCCCUGAAUUUCUACAUUAACCUCAAUAAAAUGGCUUGUUUUUUGUUAGUAAGUCUGCCAUCUGUGUCCUGCUUUUGGGUCCUAACCUUUACAUGCCACACGACCUAACAAACCAAUCUUUUCAUGCAGUUUAGAACACUGAAUAUUUUCACAUUUUUUUCUUAUUUUCCAGCACAUUAGACCUUAUUUUGUCUUCCUACACCUGCACUAGAAGUCUCUGAAGUCAAAGAUAUGAUAAAUAGAAUAGAAAGUUUAUAUUUAUAGAACUGUAUCUUUGUAGUACAGUCAAUUUCACUAACAAAUUGCAUUUUGUACCUAAAGCUUCUCUAAAGCACAUCUCAGCGCAUUAUUGUGUAGGCUGUGAAUGGUUGUUUGUCACUUUCACAGAGCUGAGCAGUGGAGCAUCAUCUCAGCAGCCUCCUUAUCAUUGGAGGGAAGUCAUAUCUAGAUGUUUUCCCCUUUCUACUGGGAACAAAAUGGCAGAAAGCAGAAAGUCUUGUGCGAGUGAAGAAGCUAACCUGGUUCUGAUCAACAGUUAACAGAGAACAAAUAGCCUACAAAAGGAACUGUUAAAGAAAGAGUUACAUUAACAAAUCGUACGUUUGUAAUGUUGCUAAAACAUGAAUUCAAGUCAUGUAUUUCACCAGAUCUCAGAAGAAAAUACAUCUACUCCACUAUAUUUAUUUGACAGCAAAUGUUAAAAAUUCACAUUUUGCACAUAAACAACAGCCAUCAAAUGAUG
ensembl:lncRNA